rnacentral:rRNA from 1 species
AUUGAACGCUGGCGGCAGGCCUAACACAUGCAAGUCGAGCGGAUGAGGAAAGCUUGCUUUUCGAUUCAGCGGCGGACGGGUGAGUAAUGCCUAGGAAUCUGCCUGUUAGUGGGGGAUAACUCGGGGAAACUCGGGCUAAUACCGCAUACGUCCUACGGGAGAAAGUGGGGGAUCUUCGGACCUCACGCUAACAGAUGAGCCUAGGUCGGAUUAGCUAGUAGGUGAGGUAAUGGCCCACCUAGGCGACGAUCCGUAACUGGUCUGAGAGGAUGAUCAGUCACACUGGAACUGAGACACGGUCCAGACUCCUACGGGAGGCAGCAGUGGGGAAUAUUGGACAAUGGGCGAAAGCCCGAUCCAGCCAUGCCGCGUGUGUGAAGAAGGUCUUCGGAUUGUAAAGCACUUUAAGUUGGGAGGAAGGGUAUUCACCUAAUACGUGGGUACUUUGACGUUACCAACAGAAUAAGCACCGGCUAACUCUGUGCCAGCCGCCGCCGUAAUAC